rnacentral:rRNA from 1 species
CGGACGGGUGAGUAACGCGUGGGCAACCUGCCCUGUACUGGGGGAUAACACCUGGAAACAGGUGCUAAUACCGCAUAAGCGCGCUGUGCCGCAUGGCGCGGCGCGGAAAACCCCGGUGGUACAGGAUGGGCCCGCGUCUGAUUAGCUGGUUGGCAGGGUAACGGCCUACCAAGGCGACGAUCAGUAGCCGGCCUGAGAGGGUGGACGGCCACACUGGGACUGAGACACGGCCCAGACUCCUACGGGAGGCAGCAG